rnacentral:rRNA from 1 species
AGUGAACGCUGGCGGUAGGCCUAACACAUGCAAGUCGAACGGCAGCACAGUAAGAACUUGCUCUUACGGGUGGCGAGUGGCGGACGGGUGAGGAAUACAUCGGAAUCUACUCUUUCGUGGGGGAUAACGUAGGGAAACUUACGCUAAUACCGCAUACGACCUACGGGUGAAAGCAGGGGAUCUUCGGACCUUGCGCGAUUGAAUGAGCCGAUGUCGGAUUAGCUAGUUGGCGGGGUAAAGGCCCACCAAGGCGACGAUCCGUAGCUGGUCUGAGAGGAUGAUCAGCCACACUGGAACUGAGACACGGUCCAGACUCCUACGGGAGGCAGCAGUGGGGAACAUUGGACAAUGGGCGCAAGCCUGAUCCAGCCAUACCGCGUGGGUGAAGAAGGCCUUCGGGUUGUAAAGCCCUUUUGUUGGGAAAGAAAAGCAGCAGGUUAAUACCCCGCUGUUCUGACGGUACCCAAAGAAUAAGCACCGGCUAACUUCGUG